rnacentral:antisense_RNA from 1 species
UCUGCACAUGCACAGAAUCUGGGCCCAGGUGACUUAUGGAACCUUUAUAGAGACCAAGGUGACUGACAUUCAUGGGAAAGGGGGUAGAGGGGCAAGAACUGACUGUUCAUCAAAAAUUAUUAGAUGAGUGUGUCCACGACACCAGGAGAUAUGUUGAAUCAUGGACAGGGACCAGCAUAUCCACUAAGCUCUAUAUAUCUUGAUGGUGCAGGAUCCAAGUGGGAUGCAACAACAAAUUCCUGCCCAUCCUACUGCUCAAUAAUACAUGUGCUCAGAAUCUGUUCAUAAUGCAUGGUGAGUGGGAGGCAUAACUGCUUUGCCUCCAGUCAUCAUCUGGGGGCAUAUCUACUCUUCGAGGACCAGGGGUUCGGGACCCUGGAAAAGGAUCUGAAUUCCAAGCUGACCUCAGGGGUACAUGAAGACUGCUAGAUGAGACGGGAUCUCACUGUGUUGCUCAGGCUGGUCUCGAACUGCUGGACUCAAGUCAUCCUCCCAUCUUGG